GUGCUCACUUUGGCAGCACAUGUACUAAAAUUGGAAUGAUACUGAGAAGAUUAGCAUGGCCCCUGCACAAGGAUGACAUGCAAAAUUCAUGAAGGAUUCCAACUUUUA
ensembl:snRNA U6 U6 spliceosomal RNA